GUACUACCCUCCUGAGUACAGGAUCAAGGGCAAGUACCAUGCGAAGUCUGCAAUGUCGUGGUCUCUCGGGGUCACCUUGUUCACGAUGCUGUGCGGCCGUUUUCCAACUGAGGAGGACCUGCAGAAGACCGAACUAAACCUUUGGUCUGAGCCUGCGCUAUCGAAAGACUGCUGCCGUUUGAUCUGCAGCCUCCUGCAGCAGAAACCACAGCGGCGGCUCAGUCUGGGGAAGAUCCUUCAUCACGACUGGUUUAAGAUCUCCAUAUAACCCCAGACGUUUCCAGAGUCUCCUGUCAGCUUUGCGUCUUGCGGGCUGGCAGAGAGGCUUUCCAUCCCUCCGUGAAGCCUUUGCGUCUUGCGGGGCCGGCAGGCCAUGCUUGCGUCUUGCGGCAUGACCUGAAGCAGCAGUACUUGCGUCUGGCGGUACUGCUCGCUUGGGGAUGUGUACAUAUGUAUAUAGUUUUUUCUCAGAGCCUUCAUUGUUAAUAGAUUGCUGCCGUUUGAGCCUCCUCCAUCAAGCGGUGACUCCUUCUGGGGAAUAUCCUUUACCACGACUGGCUUCAGAUCUCCAUAUAAGUCGUGGAGAAUGGAGCUCCAACCCCAGACAUUUCUAGGGUCUCCUGUCAGCUUUGCGUCUUGCACCAUGACCUGAAGCAGCAGUAUUUGGGCCUCAAGGCCAUCUUCUCUCAAAACCUCUCUCUCAAGACAAAUCUUUGAUGUCCCAGAGGUUCCUGCUAUGGUACUCCAGGUGUCCCAGUCUUGCUGCCCUGGUAGUAGAACUUACUGUAGUGGCUACCUGGUUUUAAAGCUUCUUGUCAUGAAGGCAUGCACUCAAAAGCUUGUCUGAGACAACAAGGUCAGAUCUCAGAUAUUCUUCUCACGGCUGUCCCAGAUGUUAUGCUCCAUGUGAUGUACGCCUUCGAUCCCAGAAGUAAUGGCUGCAUCUCACGGCUGUCCAUGUGAUGUUUUCUGAGUACCAGAAGUUCUCCAAAAGACCACUAGUUCCUCAUGGCUGCCAAUACAAGAACUCGCCAAAAUUUCCCAAUGCCAGAGCUUCUUGCUUUGGCAGCCUCAGUACCAGAAUGCCCUUUCAUGUUGCUAUCAAGGGGCGCAAAUAAAAAAAAUCAUUUUAAUACAUUUUAAAAAAAGUGUUGCUUCACUUUUUCUCAGUAAAAUCUCAAAAUCUCAGUAC